rnacentral:lncRNA from 1 species
GAAACGCCUCUUUAUUAAUAUAAAUAAAAGAGACUGAAGCUCAAUGUACAAGAACAUAUACCAAGAGCAACAAGGACUAAAAGAACAGAUAUAGCAAAAACCGAGACAGGAGAGAACAUAUAAAAUUUCAAUGAGCUGGACAAGACCCUCUAGAACCUGAGCAAAACAAGAAGAAAAUACAAAGCAAAGUGAAAAAACUUUCAACAAGGAGCCCCAAAUAAGCUAAAAGCUUAAUAACAAAUGGUUUAAAAAAUGAAUGGAAAGGAAAACACCAAGAAAAGUUAACCAGCUGAGGCAAAGCUUGAUUGAAAAAUACAAUUGUGUGCCACGGAAAACUUGUUGAAAUCUUCCACCUCACGAAAAAGAACUGCACGUGUACUAUUGAAAUGGCCCAUCAAAGCUUCAAUUCUUUGAACAGAAUUCUGAAAGGAAGAAAGAAAUACACAGGAAAAGGCCAAACAUGAAAUCUCUCACUUUACAAAAAAACCAUUAUCUUGCUUCAACAAUCCUUCCCAUAUGCCCUUAGAAUCACCAGAUUCCCAUUCAAUUUUUAAGAUUAAAUGUCUGCGACUUUCUGUGCGCAAGCCAAAACUAUCCCACAUUUCUCAACAAAGGACUUCAAAUGAUCUGGAAUAUCACAUUGAUGAGCUUGUGUGGAAAUUCUAGAGGCCCGUUUCUCAUUAAUUGAAUCUUCCUCAGUCUGAAACAAAGAAUUUAGAUCAGUCUCUAAAGGGUCUGAUAGACCCCCCAUAGUAAAGGUGUAUUCACGUAGGAAUAAAAGUGGGAAGAAGAAAGAAUGAUUGAGAGUUAGUUAGUAAUUUCCCGUAAGGUGGGCCCUUAGGAGUAUGACUGUUAAAGUGGGGCCAAGUAUUCUGUUAGCUGUCUUAGUGUUUGCCUAUUUAGGUAUUGUGAAUGUUGGGGGUGGGCAUCUUUUUGGCUAAAUGAUUUUGGUAUAGACUCUCAUUAGAGUAGUGUGGAGAGAUUGGGGAACUCUCAAAUCCUUCCCCAUAGUUGAUAAAUAAAAUUGUGGCUAAGGCCUUAACAGGGUCCUUCAACAAUAGAUCUUCCUUCUCAUUUAAUCUUAUCAAAUCAUCUUCCAUAGCUGAAACAAGCUUCUUUUUUGAGGGGACCGGAGUUUGGCUUGGAGAACAUCUCAAGAACUUUACCUUUGAAUUAGUAAAGAAAAAGCAGAGUAUUUUGUAAACUUUACCUUUGAAUUAAAUGUUUAACUGUUGUAGGAACAAAAUUUAAUUAUGAACCGUGAAUGAAGGAAUUGGAUGAACUAGUUAAACAGCUAGUAUGCUUUCUGCCAAUCUAGAUGUAAUAUAAUGCUCCAUUCAAUUCCUCUGCUCUUGCAAGGGAAAGAGUGCUGGAUAUUAAGAGGAUGACGUAAUCAACACAGCAAAGUUGUUAUUUUGCAAUGUCAUAAGAGGACGAACUUAAUCUAAAUUAUAUAAGAUGUUUCUAAUCUUGUAGUACUAAGAAAUGUAUGGCUGAAUGAAAGAAAUAUUUAAAGGUUAAUUUUUUCUGUGUAGAGUGGGAAAAUAUUUUGUUCAAGCUCAAUGAUUCCAGAAGAUAUAGACGAACAGUUGGAUCAAUUGCUGGUUCGUGCAUUGUGACUGCUAUACCUCUCCUAGCUUCACAGAAACAAGCUACAUGCUUGGUGGCCUUAGAUAUUGUUGAGGUAUGUCUCAAGAUUGUCUAUAUUCGAGCUAAGAACUGGAUUCCCUUGUUAGUGAGAGAUCUUUUCAUGGCCAUUUUCUGUCUGAGAAUGUCAUCAAGAAUUAUUACAUGUCCUUGGUGCUAAUUGCCACACGGUCAUGUUUUGUGUAAUCCAUCACAUCGUCAUAAUUAUUUUUAUAGGGUUUAAAGUUUAGGGUAUACAAUGCACACAAAAUGUUGAUCUAACUACGAUCAUUGUGGGUUUCUGAGUAUAGGUUGAUGCUUCUUUGUCUCUGUUCCACACAGCACUUUGAUGCUAUAAUAAAGAUUCCACGUACCCCUUCCCUUUUUGGUGAUGAAUUCACCUUAUAAUGCAUAAAAUCUUUUUGCGGGAUUGCAUUUUGUUUUGCUUAAAAUUGAUUCUAUUGAAAAAAGUCACUUACAUAAAUUGUUUGUAGUAUGGUGUCGCGGCAUUGGCAAAAGUGGAAGAAGCCUAUAAGCAUGAGAAGGAUAUCAAGGAAGCAAUUGAGGAAACAUUGCACUCACAUUCUUUUUAUCGACUUCUGGACACUUUGGAUGUUUC